GUAGGAGAGGGGAGGCCAGUUGCCUCUCAAACAGUCAUGUGGACCUAGCCUGAGGUAGUAGCCAUAGAUGUCAGUGGCAAGACAGAAGAUUCAGUCUCUAAACAAAACCAUCAACUCUCAGAAAGAAGAGUCUAUGUCCCUGUACACAGAAUCUGGCUUGACUUUGCGACUUGCUUUCACCAAUCAAAUGCAGAAGAAGUGAAGUCUGGUCCUCAGGAGGUUUUGUACUCCUCUGCUGACUCUCCUGGGAUGCUAAAAACGCCAUGAGUCCUAGUUACGACUAACUUACAUGGCCUAGUCACCUCCAUUGUCCAAGCCAAUAGGUACCCAGCCAUCACACCUAGAGUGAGGCCAUUCCAAUCUCCAGCUGAUCUGCUGUGGAUGAGCAUGGCCAAGAUCAACUGAGCUUGGCUCAGAUGAGCAAGACUCCCUGGAUAACCUACAAUCUUGUGGAGAAAUGGAGGCACUCAUGGAUCAAGCAUUUUCCCAGGGCCACAUAGUUAAUGUAGCACUUAGAAGACUGGGUAUCUUUUUCAAUGCCACAUAGCAGCACAGCUAGGAGUUGAACCAGGCAGUCUGGUGCUACAGGCCAUACAUUUUGACAUGUGUUUUGUUGCCUCUUGACAAAGUCCAUGGACUGUGAUCCUGGGACCAACAGCAUCAGUAUCAACUGGGAACUUCUUAGAAAUUCAAAUUCUUGGGGCUAUUCCCCAAAUUUCUGAGUCAGAAGCUCUGGGGAUAGGGCCCAGCCAAGCUAUGUGUUAACAGACUUUUUAGAUCAGGGGUUCCCCCCAACUCCCAGGCCAAGAACCAGUACCAGUCUGUGGCCUGUUAGGAACCAGGCUGCACAGCAGGAGGUGAGGGCAGGUGAGCAUUACUGCCUGAGCCCUGCCUCCUAUCAGAUCAGUGGUGUCAUGGCAUUAGAUUCUCACAGGAGCAAGAACCAUAUUGUGAACUGCACACACAAGGGAUCUAGGCUGCGUGCUCCUUAUAAGCAUCUAAUGCCUGAUGACCUGAGCUAGAACAAUUUCAUCCUGAAACCACCUCCCCCUUCCCCCAACCCCAUCCAUGAAAAAAUUGUCUUCUAUGAAACUGGCCCCUGGUGCCAAAAAGGUUGGGGGUGGCUGUUUCAGAUUAUUCUUACUCAGGAUAAAGUUUGAGGACAUCUGCCCUAGCUCCUUAAAUUUAAGCUAUAAUUCAUAAAUUGUGUUCUUACGGUGCAUUAGGAUAAUGCAUUGAAUAGGUGAUUUUUGGAUGACUCCUAUGUGCUAGCUACCAUUGUACUUGUAGGUGUUACCAUGCAGAACAAAAGGUAAAGUAUUCCUUGGGAAAUAAACAGCCAAAUAAAGACUUAAAUAAACACAAGA